rnacentral:rRNA from 1 species
AGCGCAGGCGGUCUUUUAAGUCUGAUGUGAAAGCCUUCGGCUUAACCGGAGAAGUGCAUCGGAAACUGGGAGACUUGAGUGCAGAAGAGGACAGUGGAACUCCAUGUGUAGCGGUGAAAUGCGUAGAUAUAUGGAAGAACACCAGUGGCGAAGGCGGCUGUCUGGUCUGUAACUGACGCUGAGGCUCGAAAGCAUGGGUAGCGAACA